rnacentral:rRNA from 1 species
GACGAACGUUGGCGGCGUGCUUAAUACAUGCAAGUCAACUGAAGCAGUGGUAGCAAUCUCGCUGUGGAGGUGGCGCACGGGUGAGUAACACGUAGGUAAUCUGCCUUCAGGUCUGGCAUAACUCCGGGAAACCGGGGCUAAUAGCAGAUGAUGCAGCGGCUCAACAUCGAGACAGUUGUUAAAGCUAUGGCGCCUGAAGAUGAGCCUGCGUCUGAUUAGCUAGUUGGCGGGGUAACGGCCCACCAAGGCAACGAUCAGUAGCUGGUCUGAGAGGAUGAUCAGCCACACUGGAACUGAGACACGGUCCAGACUCCUACGGGAGGCAGCAGUAAGGAAUAUUGCUCAAUGGGAGAAAUCCUGAAGCAGCAACGCCGCGUGAGGGACGAAGGGCUUUUGCUUGUAAACCUCUGUAGUGAGAGAAAAAAAUCCCAAUCUUUGGGACAUGAUGGUAGCUCAAAAGUAAGCCCCGGCUAACUACGUG